CACUCUAAGCGGUGGAUCACUCGGCUCAUGGGUCGAUGAAGAACGCAGCAAACUGUGCGUCAUCGUGUGAACUGCAGGACACAUGAACAUCGACAUUUUGAACGCAUAUGGCAGUCCAUGCUGUUUGGU
rnacentral:rRNA from 1 species